rnacentral:rRNA from 1 species
UGACGCUGGCGGCGUGCCUAAUACAUGCAAGUCGAACGCUUUGUNUUUAAUUGAUAUGAAGAGCUUGCUNUGAUUUGAUUUUAUCUGACAAAGAGUGGCGAACGGGUGAGUAACACGUGGGUAACCUACCUCUUAGCAGGGGAUAACAUUUGGAAACAAGUGCUAAUACCGUAUAACACUAACAACCGCAUGGUUGUUAGUUGAAAGAUGGUUCUGCUAUCACUAAGAGAUGGACCCGCGGUGCAUUAGCUAGUUGGUAAGGUAAUGGCUUACCAAGGCGAUGAUGCGUAGCCGAGUUGAGAGACUGAUCGGCCACAAUGGGACUGAGACACGGCCCAUACUCCUACGGGAGGCAGCAGUAGGGAAUCUUCCACAAUGGGCGCAAGCCUGAUGGAGCAACGCCGCGUGUGUGAUGAAGGGUUUCGGCUCGUAAAACACUGUUAUAAGAGAAGAACGACAUUGAGAGUAACUGUUCAGUGUGUGACGGUAUCUUAUCAGAAAGGAACGGCUAAAUACGUGCCAGCANCCGCGGUAAUACGUAUGUUCCAAGCGUUAUCCGGAUUUAUUGGGCGUAAAGCGAGCGCAGACGGUUAUUUAAGUCUGAAGUGAAAGCCCUCAGCUCAACUGAGGAAGGGCUUUGGAAACUGGAUAACUUGAGUGCAGUAAAGGAAAGUGGAACUCCAUGUGUAGCGGUGAAAUGCGUAAAUAUAUGGAANAACACCGGUGGCGAAAGCGGCUUUCUGGACUGUAACUGACGUUGAGGCUCGAAAGUGUGGGUAGCAAACAGGAUUAGAUACCCUGGUAGUCCACACCGUAAACGAUGAGUGCUAGAUGUUCGAGGGUUUCCGCCCUUGAGUGUCGCAGCUAACGCAUUAAGCACUCCGCCUGGGGAGUACGACCGCAAGGUUGAAACUCAAAGGAAUUGACGGGGGACCCGCACAAGCGGUGGAGCAUGUGGUUUAAUUCGAAGCAACGCGAAGAACCUUACCAGGUCUUGACAUCCCUUGCUAAUCCUAGAAAUAGGAUGUUCCCUUCGGGGACAAGGUGACAGGUGGUGCAUGGUUGUCGUCAGCUCGUGUCGUGAGAUGUUGGGUUAAGUCCCGCAACGAGCGCAACCCUUAUUAUUAGUUGCCAGCAUUCAGUUGGGCACUCUAGUGAGACUGCCGGUGACAAACCGGAGGAANGUGGGGAUGACGUCAAAUCAUCAUGCCCCUUAUGACCUGGGCUACACACNUGCUACAAUGGCAUAUACAACNANUCNCUAACCCGCGAGGGUACNCUAAUCUCUUAAANUAUNUCUCAGUUCGGAUUGUAGGCUGCAACUCNCCUACAUGAANUCGGAAUCGCUANUAAUCGCGGAUCANCACNCCGCGGUGAAUACNUUCCCGGGUCUUGUACACACCGCCCGUCACACCAU